UACGGGGGGGGCAAGCGUUGUUCGGAAUUACUGGGCGUAAAGGGCUCGUAGGCGGCCAACUAAGUCAGACGUGAAAUCCCUCGGCUUAACCGGGGAACUGCGUCUGAUACUGGAUGGCUCGAGUUUGGGAGAGGGAUGCGGAAUUCCAGGUGUAGCGGUGAAAUGCGUAGAUAUCUGGAGGAACACCGGUGGCGAAGGCGGCAUCCUGGGCCAACACUGACGCUCAUGCACGAAAGCGUGGGGAGCAAACAGG
rnacentral:rRNA from 1 species